CUACGGGUGGCACCAGUGGGGAAUAUUGCACAAUGGGCGAAAGCCUGAUGCAGCAACGCCGCGUGAAUGAUGAAGGCCUUCGGGUCGUAAAAUUCUGUCCUUAAGGAAGAUAAUGACGGUACUUAAGGAGGAAGCCCCGGCUAACUACGUGCCAGCAGCCGCGGUAAUACGUAGGGGGCUAGCGUUAUCCGGAUUUACUGGGCGUAAAGGGAGCGUAGGUGGUUUUUCAAGUCAGAGGUUAAAGGCUACGGCUCAACCGUAGUAAGCCUUUGAAACUGGAAAACUUGAGUGCAGGAGAGGAAAGUGGAAUUCCCAGUGUAGCGGUGAAAUGCGUAGAUAUUGGGAGGAACACCAGUAGCGAAGGCGGCUUUCUGGACUGUAACUGACACUGAGGCACGAAAGCGUGGGUAGCAAACAGGAUUAGAUACCCGAGUAGUC
rnacentral:rRNA from 1 species